AUGGGGUCGAUUAGGAUGGAGCAGCUCCAGAGCAGCAGUGGUUACAGAGGAAGGCAGGCUCUGCUUUCACCUCAGCACUACAGGUGGCUGAUGAGUGACAAUGAAGCCUGGCACACUGGUUUGGAUGUGUACAGAGUUGUACGAUUUCUAGAGGAUGUUUAA
rnacentral:lncRNA from 1 species